rnacentral:rRNA from 1 species
AACGAACGCUGGCGGCAUGCCUAACACAUGCAAGUCGAACGAGACCUUCGGGUCUAGUGGCGCACGGGUGCGUAACGCGUGGGAACCUGCCCUUAGGUUCGGAAUAACUCCCCGAAAGGGGUGCUAAUACCGGAUAAUGUCUUCGGACCAAAGAUUUAUCGCCUUUGGAUGGGCCCGCGUUGGAUUAGCUAGUUGGUAGGGUAAAAGCCUACCAAGGCGACGAUCCAUAGCUGGUCUGGGAGGAUGAUCAGCCACACUGGGACUGAGACACGGCCCAGACUCCUACGGGAGGCGGCAGUGGGGAAUAUUGGACAAUGGGCGAAAGCCUGAUCCAGCAAUGCAGCGUGAGUGAUGAAGGCCUUAGGGUUGUAAAGCGCUUUUACCCGGGAUGAUAAUGACAGUACCGGGAGAAUAAGCUCCGGCUAACUCCGUG